CAGUUAUAUUAAAGCCAAAUGAUUGCUGGAUUACUCAGUAUUUAAUAAUUAAUGGUAGCAGUAAUAUAUCCCAAUUUAAUCUGACAAUCAGUUGGUUUUAAACAAUAAAAAUUUUUUGAUGUAGUUAUUAUUUUGACAAAUAUAACAUGAAUCUAAAGAAUCUCCUUAAAUGCUCCUUUGACUACAUAACAAAUUUUCCUGUAGCCACCUAAUUUUAAACUUGGUCAUAAUUACUGAACAUCAAAUUUCUUUUGACUGCUGUUUAUAUAUAAAUAUUAUAAAGUCUCUGUAAAUCCGCACUAAAAAUAUAAAAAGUUACUAAAUACACUUGAUAUGAAAGUGCUAAUGGAAUGUGAAUCCAAGCUGUGUACCUAAAUGUACUGAAGAGGAUUCUUUAAUAGGACCGAAAUGCAUAUACAGUGAUUAAAUAAAGAGAAUCAGGGAGUGACAGCAGAUGAUUUGAAGAUAUAGUAUUAAAAUCUUCAUUAAAACAAGACCAAUGAUACACUAUUAAAAAAAAUACACAUGCAUAAUAAAACUGUACAUAGACAUGAAUCUUCUACUGUAAGAUCUGGCAUCACUAAACCGAUUAAAACAGUGCUAAAAAUCUUGACAAAGGUAAGUUGAGAUUGUUUUUAAUGGUACUAUUUUAAUGAAGAUUUUUGAAGUUUGUUUUCAAGUCAUCUGCUAAAGUUUCUAACUAUAAUUAAAAAAACAAGCAAAUUUGUUUGUAUGGUCUUCAUUACUUAAAAACAGAUAUUAAAUGCAUAAAGGCAAGUUAGUUGUGAUAACUGUUAAUGACUAUUAAAUAAUAAACAUAAUGGAAAAAAUAAUUCAUGUUGAUGCUCACAUUGCAGAAAUCUCCAUCCAAUUAAUAAACACACAAAAAGAAUGCUUGUUUAUCAUGAUUUCAACACUAACUGAAAAUAAUAUUUCUAGACAAAGUUGAGUAGAAAGAUCUAAGCCCAAAAUGUCAAAAAUGUGAUUAAAAAUGCAAAAAAGAUUCCCAACAUCAUGACUAAUUUUGAAUUAAUAAUGUGAUCAGAUGAAUUUGAUUUCAAAUAAAAGUAACUCUCAAGUAAUUAUUGAUCACAGCUGAUGUCACAGCCAGAAAUAUUUAGUAGUCAUGUGCACUGCAAUCUUUGCAUAAUUUUUCAAAUGAGCAUGAGCCCAAAGAUUAAGAACCAUUGAUCUACAAUAUCCAAUAUAUCUUUAUGAUGUCUUUUAUUUCAUUUCACUUUUUAUUAAUAUAUUUUUCAACUGAAAUUCUAAUAUAUCUACAAUAAUUAUGCAACAAUUACAAUGAUCUUCCCUUUAAAUAA